CCGCGGUAUACGGAGGGGUGGCAAGCGUUAAUCGGAAUUACUGGGCGUAAAGCGCGCGUAGGUGGCUUGAUAAGCCGGUGUGAAAUGCCCCGGGCUCAACUUGGGAACGGCAUCCGGAACUGUCAAGCUAGAGUGCAGGAGAGGAAGGUAGAAUUCCCGGUGUAGCGGUGAAAUGCGUAGAGAUCGGGAGGAAUACCAGUGGCGAAGGGCGGCCUUCUGGACUGACACUGACACUGAGGUGCGAAAGCGUGGGUAGCAAACAGGAUUAGAUACCCUGGUAGUCCACGCCGUAAACGAUGUCGACCAGCCGUUGGGUGCCUAGCGCACUUUGUGGCGAAGUUAACGCGAUAAGUCGACCGCCUGGGGAGUACGGCCGCAAGGUUAAAACUCAAAUGAAUUGACGGGGGCCCGCACAAGCGGUGGAGCAUGUGGUUUAAUUCGAUGCAACGCGAAGAACCUUACCUACUCUUGACAUCCUGCGAAUUUGGUAGAGAUACCUUAGUGCCUUCGGGAACGCAGAGACAGGUGCUGCAUGGCUGUCGUCAGCUCGUGUUGUGAAAUGUUGGGUUAAGUCCCGUAACGAGCGCAACCCUUGUCCUUAUUUGCCAGCGCGUAAUGGCGGGAACUCUAAGGAGACUGCCGGUGACAAACCGGAGGAAGGUGGGGACGACGUCAAGUCAUCAUGGCCCUUACGAGUAGGGCUACACACGUGCUACAAUGGUCGGUACAAAGGGUUGCCAACUCGCGAGAGUGAGCCAAUCCCGAAAAGCCGAUCUCAGUCCGGAUCGGAGUCUGCAACUCGACUCCGUGAAGUCGGAAUCGCUAGUAAUCGUGGAUCAGAAUGCCACGGUGAAUACGUUCCCGGGCCUUGUACACCCCGCCCGUCACACCAUGGGAGUGGACUGCACCAGAAGUGGUUAGCCUAACGCAAGA
rnacentral:rRNA from 1 species